rnacentral:lncRNA from 1 species
AUGCAUGGAGGGUUCCACCCCAAAUCCAGCACCCUGAGACUGUACGCUAGCCGCAAGGAAGGAAGCCGAGGACUAGUGAGCGUGAGAGCCACUAUCCGGGAUGAAACAUGCAAGAUCCAUAAGUACAUCAAGGAUAAGGCCCCGACAGAUGACGUGCUGAGUGAAUGUCUCAGGCAGUGGAGAACAGAGGAUGAGAUGCUGGAAGAGGGACCAUCAUGGAAGGACAAGCCCUUACACGGGAUGUACCACCGGAACAUAACUGAAGUGGCUGAUCUCAACAAAUCCUACCAAUGGCUUGAAAGGGCCAGGCUGAAGGACAGCACAGAGGCACUCAUCCUGGCCGCACCGGAGCAGGCCCUGAGCACCAGAGCCAUAGAGGCCCAGAUCUACCACACCAGACAAGACCCAAGGUGUAGACUGUGCAAAGAAGCCCCUGAGACAGUCCAGCACAUAACUGCAGGGUGUAAGAUGCUGGCAGGGAAAGCAUACAUGGAACGCCAUAACCAAGUGGCUGGCAUAGUAUACAGGAACAUCUGCGCAGAGUAUGGACUGGAAACCCCAAGGUCAAAAUGGGAAACACCUCCCAAGGUGGUAGAGAACGAGCAAGCCAAGAUCCUGUGGGACUUCCAGAUACAGACUGACAGAAUGGUAAUGGCGAACCAACCAGACAUUGUGGUGGUGGAUAAAGAGCAGAGGAAAGCCGUAGUGGUGGAUGUGGCAAUACCAAGCGAUGGCAACAUCAGGAAAAAGGAACAUGAGAAACUAGAGAAAUACCAAGGGCUCAGAGAAGAACUGGAGAAGGCUUGGAAGGUGAAGGCCACAGUGGUGCCUGUGGUGAUCGGAGCACUGGGGGCUGUGACCCCCAAACUGGAGGAGUGGCUACAACAGAUCCCUGGAAAAACAUCCGAAAUCUCAGUCCAGAAAAGUGCAGUCCUAGGGACGCAAGGAUACUGCCCAGAACCCUCAAGGUCCCUGGCCUCUGGAAGAGGACCCGAGCUUGGAAAGUGGAUGAGACCACCCGCGGAGGGUGAGAAUAGAGUGUGUGUAUGUGUGUGUGUGUACACAUACAGUAGUGUGAGUUUUUCUUGCCUUGUCCGGUGUUUAGCCGCAGGAUCUGUUAGCCCUAUUUCCAGGUCAGCUCCUUUGAUACCGUUAUCAUGGCAUUUUUAUCUUCACAAUGGAUUUCCACUUUUAAUCCACAAUUCAAUCGUCUUUGUUUCAAUACCUCAUCUUUACUAA